rnacentral:rRNA from 1 species
CAUAAACGCCGUCUCCCUAUGAUUGUGCUUAAGUUGGAUUUCAGGAAAGCCUUUGACAGUGUCAGUUGGGAUGCUCUAAAUCAAAUCAUGGAAGCCCGAGGCUUUGGGGAUCGAUGGAUACAUUGGAUUAAUGACCUGCUAUCAUCCGGCUCUUCAAGUGUCUUGAUCAAUGGACAGAUUGGUGAUAAGAUUAAAUUACAGAGUGGCCUAAGACAAGGGGAUGCUUUAUCCCCUUAUCUUUUUAUUCUCAUGGCUGAUGUCCUACAACAAAUGUGCAUCUCUGAGUGUAAUAGGGGAACUCUCUAA